CCUACGGGUGGCUGCAGUGAGGAAUAUUGGUCAAUGGACGAGAGUCUGAACCAGCCAAGUAGCGUGAAGGAUGACUGCCCUAUGGGUUGUAAACUUCUUUUAUAUGGGAAUAAAAUGUUCCACGUGUGGGAUUUUGUAUGUACCAUAUGAAUAAGGAUCGGCUAACUCCGUGCCAGCAGCCGCGGUAAUACGGAGGAUCCGAGCGUUAUCCGGAUUUAUUGGGUUUAAAGGGAGCGUAGGUGGAUUGUUAAGUCAGUUGUGAAAGUUUGCGGCUCAACCGUAAAAUUGCAGUUGAAACUGGCAGUCUUGAGUACAGUAGAGGUGGGCGGAAUGCGUGGUGUAGCGGUGAAAUGCUUAGAGAUCAUGAAGAACUCCGAUUGCGAAGGCAGUUCACUGGACUGCAACUGACACUGAGGCUCGAAAGUGUGGGUAUCAAACAGGAUUAGAUACCCGGGUAGUC
rnacentral:rRNA from 1 species